rnacentral:tRNA from 2 species
CUCUGGUUAGCUCAUUUGGUAGAGCGCUCCACUUGUAAUGGAGAGGUCGCGGGUUCGAUACCCGGACCAGGCG